rnacentral:lncRNA from 1 species
AGACUGCCAUGUGACAGCCUCUUCCCCACCCAAAAAAUAAGGAUUUUUUUGGGGGAAAGGCUUCCUUACGCCUACGCCACGAGAGGAAAACUGAAUGGGUUUCAAAAUGCAAGAGCGUCGCGAUGCGAAUCUAGCUCGUGGUUGCUUGUCUGUGAUUUGGUUUCUUUGGUUUCUUUCUAGUUGCAGGUUCGAAGAGCAGCUUCGCGAUGGCUGGAGAAGAUGAAGAUUGAUGGAGAAUGGUGCUUUUGCGGUGGUGAUUCUACUUCAAUUGACUUGACGAAGAAGAUGAGCUUGCACAUGCUCGCUAUCUCGUUGCGGCAAUCAUGGUUGUCGCGACAAGAUGUUAAUGGCGAUUCACAGUGGAGGAAGGGGAAGAUGGUCAUGGUGGUGUUUCUGGGUGGUUGCUGGACGGAGAAGAUGAACAGUGGUGGUAGUGGUUUCAAAAUAUCUGAUGAUGGAGGUGCAAAGGUGGUGGCUGGCCGUGAGCGUGGCGACGGUGAUUAGGGUUAGAUUAGGUGGUGGCUAGGGUUUCUGUGUAAGGGGAAAUUAGAGUUUCUGAAUGUAGGAGAUGAUGAUGACGUGUCAAAGGUGAUGUCACUGAUUGUACAACUGG